GUUUUUCUGUGGCUCAGCUGGUAGAGCAUUGCCGAAACAACGCAAAGGUCAUGGGUUCAAAUCCCAGGGAAAGCA
rnacentral:tRNA from 1 species